rnacentral:rRNA from 1 species
GAUGAACGCUGGCGGCGUGCCUAACACAUGCAAGUCGAACGAAGCUCCCAGAAUUGAGUUUUCGGACAAGAGGAAGGGAUGACUUAGUGGCGGACGGGUGAGUAAUGCGUGAGCAACCUGCCUUUCAGAGGGGGACAACAGUUGGAAACGACUGCUAAUACCGCAUAACGUAUAUUGAUGGCAUCAUCGAUAUACCAAAGAUUUUAUCGCUGAAAGAUGGGCUCACGUCUGAUUAGCUAGUUGGUGAGGUAACGGCUCACCAAGGCUGCGAUCAGUAGCCGGACUGAGAGGUCGAACGGCCACAUUGGGACUGAGAUACGGCCCAGACUCCUACGGGAGGCAGCAGUGGGGAAUAUUGGGCAAUGGGCGCAAGCCUGACCCAGCAACGCCGCGUGAAGGAAGAAGGCUUUCGGGUUGUAAACUUCUUUUGGCAGGGACGAAACAAAUGACGGUACCUGCAGAAUAAGCUCCGGCUAACUACGUGCCAGCCGCCGCCGUAAAAC